AGGAAAGAGGACACGCAAGACCACAGUAAGAGAUGGAAAUAAGAGAAUAUUCCUGAUUUCCACUGGAUGACUUUGACUGGUAUGAUUUCAUUCUCUGAAAGUGUUAACCAGGGUGCAGCAUGGCCAGAAACCAUUCCGAGCCUCAUGAAGUGGGCAAGUCAGGUUUGGUCAUUUUUGGUAAUGUCAUUGCAUGUACACAGUUUAAGACAGAGCAUCUGGUGAUUCUCGGACCUUCAAGCAAGUGUCACAUCUCAGGUGAACCUUGGCAGUUUUAAGAUGAACAAAGUAAUCAAAGCAAAAAUGUCAAAUAAUAAUAAUAAUAAUGAUAUCAGAAGAAUGUCCAGUGCCAUGGUUGGAUUCCCAGAAGGCAGCAUCUGCUCAUGCCAUCAACAACAUGGUGCCAUUUCAGUCAUCCUCUUUUUGUCCCAAAGACAGAAAAAAAAUAGAAAAAAGAAAGAGAAAAAGACACCACGAACCGUCUAUCCUCCUGGGUGUGAGGUUUGGAGGGCCUCUCGUCAAAACUUUGGAGGGCUCUGUCAGUUUGAAAAGAACAUGACCUUUAAAUUGUAUCAGUAUGUUUGCUGGUGCAUAAGGGAGAGGAAAAGGUUCGUCCUGAUGGAAAACCACUCAGAAGCCAAGGAGUAAUUCAGAGGGAACCAGCCCAGGAAGAAUCAAGAAAGCUGCCCACAGUGUCAUUCUUCAGCUGAGAAAAGAGAGAGUUGACUAACUCCUCGGACUGGAGUGAGGACUCACAGAGGUGGUAGGACACUAACCAUCUAUGUCUCCAUUUCCUGGGUUGUAACACUGAGGUAGAACAUCUCACUGUCCCAUGGAGGAUUAUGUUAUUUUUGGAGAUUAAUAAUUUUGGAGGAAGAAAGGUGGCUUCCUGAAAAGGAAGUCACAUGAAGAAGCAACUUACACGGUGGUCUCUUUAAAUAAACAUAUUGUGA
rnacentral:lncRNA from 1 species